AGUCGAGGGGCAGCGCAGUGUAGCAAUACAUGGGCGGCGACCGGCAAACGGGUGCGGAACACGUACGCAACCUUCCUUCAAGCGGGGCAUAGCUUUCGGAAACGAAAAUUAAUACCCCAUAGUAAUAUCUGAUGGCAUCUGAGGAUAUUUAAAGAUUUAUCACUUGAAGAUGGGCGUGCGCCUGAUUAGGUAGUUGGCGGGGUAACGGCCCACCAAGCCUACGAUCAGUAACUGGUGUGAGAGCACGACCAGUCACACGGGCACUGAGACACGGGCCCGACUCCUACGGGAGGCAGCAGUAAGGAAUAUUGGUCAAUGGACGCAAGUCUGAACCAGCCAUGCCGCGUGGAGGAUGAAGGUCCUCUGGAUUGUAAACUUCUUUUAUCGGAGAAGAAACCCCUGAAAUCUUUUAGGGUUGACGGUACCCGAUGAAUAAGCACCGGCUAACUCCGUGCCAGCAGCCGCGGUAAUACGGAGGGUGCAAGCGUUAUCCGGAUUCACUGGGUUUAAAGGGAGCGUAGGUGGGCUGUAAGUCAGUGGUGAAAUCUCCGGGCUUAACUCGGAAACUGCCGUUGAUACUAUCAGUCUUGAAUAUUGUGGAGGUAAGCGGAAUAUGUCAUGUAGCGGUGAAAUGCUUAGAUAUGACAUAGAACACCGAUAGCGAAGGCAGCUUGCUACACAAUUAUUGACACUGAGGCUCGAAAGCGUGUGGAUCAAACAGGAUUAGAUACCCUGGUAGUCCACGCCCUAAACGAUGGAUACUCGACAUAUGCGAUACACUGUAUGUGUCUGAGCGAAAGCAUUAAGUAUCCCACCUGGGAAGUACGACCGCAAGGUUGAAACUCAAAGG
rnacentral:rRNA from 1 species